CCCAGACUCCUACGGGAGGCAGCAGUGGGGAAUAUUGCACAAUGGGGGAAACCCUGAUGCAGCAACGCCGCGUGAGUGAUGACGGCCUUCGGGUUGUAAAGCUCUGUCUUCAGGGACGAUAAUGACGGUACCUGAGGAGGAAGCCACGGCUAACUACGUGCCAGCAGCCGCGGUAAUACGUAGGGGGCGAGCGUUAUCCGGAUUUACUGGGUGUAAAGGGAGCGUAGACGGUUAAUCAAGUCUGAAGUGAAAGCCCGCGGCUCAACUGCGGAACGGCUUUGGAAACUGAGUAACUGGAGUGCUGGAGGGGCAGGCGGAAUUCCUGGUGUAGCGGUGAAAUGCGUAGAUAUCAGGAGGAACACCGGUGGCGAAGGCGGCCUGCUGGACAGUAACUGACGUUGAGGCUCGAAAGCGUGGGGAGCAAAC
rnacentral:rRNA from 1 species